rnacentral:lncRNA from 1 species
AGUUUCAGGAUGCAAGCUCGAGGCUUCUUGAUCCUAUGUGUUGUAUUGAGUGUUGGUCACUGGUCUUUGGGAAGCUUGGACAGAAGUGGGGCAGCCAUGGAGCUGCUGACUGGGACUGGCCUGUGGCCCGUGGUCAUAGUCACAGUCAUCUUCAUAUUACUGGUGGACAUGUUGCACCGGUGCCAGCGCUGGACUUCUUGCUGCCCACCAGACCCUGUGCCAUGGCCUGUGCUGGGUAACCUGCUGCAGGUGGACCUGGAUAACAUGCCAUAUAACUUGUACAAGAUGUGUCUGCAGGUGUGGUCCUUGCUCCUUAUGGGCCUGAGUGGAAAGAGCAGAGGUGAUUCUCUGCGUCGACCCUGUGCAACUUCAGCCUGGGCAAGAAAUCACUGGAGCAGUGGGUGAUGGAAGAGGUUGGACACCUCUUUGAUGUCUUCACUGCCCAUGCUGGGAGUCCCCUCAAUCCUUACCCUCUCUUGGACAAAGCCGUGUGCAAUGUGAUUGUGUCUCUCAUUUAUGCCCAUCGCUUCGAGUAUGGAGACCCUGACUUCAUCAAGAUGCUAAAAAGGAGGCUGUAGACAAGAGAUUUGGAAAGAACACAUCUAGAAGUGUCCACCACAGUAAUAGGAGCCUGGAGAUUGACAUACAGCAAAAGGAAGUGAGAAGCUGACCAAGGUCAGGGCUUCUAGAAGCUGAGACCCUGGCCCUCUGCCCACAUGGAACAUCUGUGAGAUUUUCCAGGUAGUAAACUUUUUUGUCCACAAUGCAGUAGAUAGAGCCUGAAGGCUAGAACUAAGGAGGACUCAGGUGAUGGGUGGGAAAAAAUAGGCCUGUGUCUAUCAUGGAAGAGGCUGGAAACCAAGACUGGCUGAGAUCAACACUAAGCCCAUGUACCCAGGAGCCAGAGAGAUGGUCAGAGGGUAGAGGAGCUUGCCAGGCAAGUAGGAUGCUUGACUUUCAUGAAAGUCAUGUGGUUAGGUAAGAACUGACUCUGUACGUUUAUCCCAGACCACAACAUCUUUGCUAUUGCAAUAGCACUCCUCAAAUCGUGUAUACAUUGAAAUAAUACUACUAACAAUAAUGACAAUUAUUAUUAUUAUUAGAAAUCUUAUUUACUCAACUCUUUAAAUUAAAGGUAGGAGGAAGUUCUAGAACAUUCUAUGGCUGUUACAGGUUCUGAACACAUUCCCAAUUCUCCUACGCAUCCCAGGGUUGGCUGACAAAGUCUUCCCUGGGCAAAAGACAUUUCUCAUAAUGGUGGAUAAGCUGGUGACUGAGCACAAGAGGACCUGGAACUCGGACCAGCCGCCUCGAGACCUGACUGAUGCCUUUAUGGCUGAGAUGGAGAAGGCAAAGGGAAACCCUGAGAGUAGCUUCAAUGAUGCAAAUCUAUGUCUGGUUGUCCUUGACCUGCUGGGUGCUGCAACUGUGACCACCUCAACCACACUGUCCUGGGCCCUGCUGCUUAUGAUCCUGCAUCCGGAUGUGCAGUGCCAAGUACAACAGGAAAUCGAUGAGGUCAUUUGGUAUGUGUGGCUUCCAGAGAUGGCAGACCAGGUCUGCAUGCCCUUCACCAAUGCUGUCAUUCAUGAGGGCAUGACUCUCAUCUCCAACCUGUUCCGUGCUGAAGGAUGAGACUGUCUGGGAGAAGCCCCUUCGCUUCCAUCCUGAACACUUCCUGGAUGCCCAGGGCCACUUUGUGAAGCCUGAGGCCUUCAUGCCAUUCUCAGCAGGCCACAGAUCAUGCCUGGGGGAGCCCCUGGCCCUCAUGGAGCUCUUCCUCUUCUUCACCUGCCUCCUGCAGCGCUUUAGCUUCUCAAUGCCAGCUGGACAAUCCCUUCCCAGUGAUUAUGGCAUCUAUACAAUGCCAGUUACUCCAGCACCUACCAGCUCUGUGCAGUGGUUUGCUAGCAGGGGCAGUGGCUCCAGCCAUCAUCACAGAUUGUUCUGACUGAUGUCCAAUAAACAAGUUUUGUGUCUGAAUC